GCGCCAGUGGUGAAUGGUAUAUGCACCGCCCUCAUGAUAGUUUGAUGUACAGAGUGGCGACGGGACGGGGUUCUAUCCCCCGCUGGUGCA